rnacentral:rRNA from 1 species
ACUCCUACGGGAGGCAACAGUGGGGAAUAUUGGACAAUGGGCGCAAGCCUGAUCCAGCCAUGCCGCGUGAGUGAUGAAGGCCCUAGGGUUGUAAAGCUCUUUCACCGGUGAAGAUAAUGACGGUAACCGGAGAAGAAGCCCCGGCUAACUUCGUGCCAGCAGCCGCGGUAAUACGAAGGGGGCUAGCGUUGUUCGGAUUUACUGGGCGUAAAGCGCACGUAGGCGGACUAUUAAGUCAGGGGUGAAAUCCCGGGGCUCAACCCCGGAACUGCCUUUGAUACUGGUAGUCUUGAGUUCGAGAGAGGUGAGUGGAAUUCCGAGUGUAGAGGUGAAAUUCGUAGAUAUUCGGAGGAACACCAGUGGCGAAGGCGGCUCACUGGCUCGAUACUGACGCUGAGGUGCGAAAGCGUGGGGAGCAAACAGGAUUAGAUACCCCUGUAGUCC